rnacentral:rRNA from 1 species
GACGAACGCUGGCGGCGUGCUUAACACAUGCAAGUCGAACGGAAAGGCCCUGCUUUUGUGGGGUGCUCGAGUGGCGAACGGGUGAGUAACACGUGAGUAACCUGCCCUUGACUUUGGGAUAACUUCAGGAAACUGGGGCUAAUACCGGAUAGGAGCUCCUGCUGCAUGGUGGGGGUUGGAAAGUUUCGGCGGUUGGGGAUGGACUCGCGGCUUAUCAGCUUGUUGGUGGGGUAGUGGCUUACCAAGGCUUUGACGGGUAGCCGGCCUGAGAGGGUGACCGGCCACAUUGGGACUGAGAUACGGCCCAGCCUCCUACGGGAGGCAGCAGUGGGGAAUAGUGCACAAUGGGCGGAAGCCUGAUGCAGCAAAGCCGCGUGCGGGAUGACGGCCUUCGGGUUGUAAACCGCUUUCGCCUGUGACGAAGCGUGAGUGACGGUAAUGGGUAAAGAAGCACCGGCUAACUACGUG